UGAAAGGGAGAAAUUACCUUAUGACUUUUCUCCUGUCCAGGUUUUGCUAUUGGCUGAACCAGCUGCUGGACUGGAUCUUCUUUCAAGGCACCGAGUACGGAAUCUCCUGAAAGAGGGGAAAACAGACAGAGUAAUUCUCUUCAGCAUCCAGUUUAUGGGUGAGGCUGAUAUUCUGGCAGACAGGAAGGUGUUCAUAUCCAGUGGGAGGCUGACAUGUGCAGGCUCUUCUCUGUUCCUGAAGAAGAAAUGGAGCACAGGCUGCCCUUUAAGGUACAGCCCUGAGUGUUGGAAACAUGUUGACACGUGCUGAAAAUGCUAGGAGCAGGUGGUAUCAGCAUCAAUAUG
rnacentral:lncRNA from 1 species